UGGCUCAGGACGAACGCUGGCGGCGUGCUUAACACAUGCAAGUCGAACGAAACACCUUAUUUGAUUUUCUUCGGAACUGAAGAUUUGGUGAUUGAGUGGCGGACGGGUGAGUAACGCGUGGGUAACCUGCCCUGUACAGGGGGAUAACAGUCAGAAAUGACUGCUAAUACCGCAUAAGACCACAGCACCGCAUGGUGCAGGGGUAAAAACUCCGGUGGUACAGGAUGGACCCGCGUCUGAUUAGCUGGUUGGUGAGGUAACGGCUCACCAAGGCGACGAUCAGUAGCCGGCUUGAGAGAGGAACGGCCACAUUGGACGAACACGCCCA
rnacentral:rRNA from 1 species